rnacentral:rRNA from 1 species
CCUACGGGGCGCACCAGUGGGGAAUAUUGCACAAUGGGCGCAAGCCUGAUGCAGCCAUGCCGCGUGUAUGAAGAAGGCCUUCGGGUUGUAAAGUACUUUCAGCGGGGAGGAAGGGAGUAAAGUUAAUACCUUUGCUCAUUGACGUUACCCGCAGAAGAAGCACCGGCUAACUCCGUGCCAGCAGCCGCGGUAAUACGGAGGGUGCAAGCGUUAAUCGGAAUUACUGGGCGUAAAGCGCACGCAGGCGGUUUGUUAAGUCAGAUGUGAAAUCCCCGGGCUCAACCUGGGAACUGCAUCUGAUACUGGCAAGCUUGAGUCUCGUAGAGGGGGGUAGAAUUCCAGGUGUAGCGGUGAAAUGCGUAGAGAUCUGGAGGAAUACCGGUGGCGAAGGCAGCCUCCUGGGAUAACACUGACGCUCAUGCACGAAAGCGUGGGGAGCAAACAGGAUUAGAUACCCGUGUAGUC